GUAUGUAAGUCUCGUCAUGUGACUUGCGAGAUUUCACGAUAUUUUGCACUUCCGGGUACAAACAAAUAUCAACAACAUUGCUUAUCUAUAUUGGGUAUAACUUGUAUGCCGGUGGGAAAGUAAAACUUACAUGGAAAAGCAAAUGAAAUGUGGAAAUUGGCAGAGUUCUUUGUUUUGUAACGAAAUGCAAAUGGUUUCAUCUUGUGAACAAGUAUCAAUGAAAGACAACUUCGUAUAAUCUUCAGAUAUUUUGACUGAGGACAGUGGUGAGAUGAAAGACGUCAGUAUCCAUUGUAAAUACACAUGCAUGCUCUGCUGUAAAAUCGUUUUGGUAUGUUAUUUCAUGGUUGGAUCUUGAGUACUUGUCAUGGCUCUUGAUUUAUUUUGGAGUGUUCACCAUCAGAUUAGAAAUCAAAUAGUGAUACCACCAGGCAUAGUUGAAAGGAAAUGUCAAUACACAGUCUUGGGGUACAUAGUGGUAAAGACAUGGCAGUCCAUUACAGAUUUUGACUGAAUCAAAGCUUCUUAAAGCUCCAUGUCUUGUGUAAACUGUCUGACUGAAUGUUUGUAUUCUCAUAAAAACUAAGGGUGAAGACACUUCAAAGAUAUAUGUCAGUGUAAAAAUGUUAAACAAAAUAUUUGUCUUUGUUAGAAAUAAAUAACCUGCCAUUAUUAGAAAUAAAUAACCUGUCAUUUGUAACUUUGUAUUAACUUAAUUAUUCAAAGAUAAUUUAUCUUCUGCAAAUGGCUGCCCAAAACAGUUUCAACCAGGCAUCAUGUAGUUUUAAAACAGUUAAGAUAAAUUUGUUAUAAAUAGACUUGUAA